AUUGAACGCUGGCGGCAGGCCUAACACAUGCAAGUCGAGCGGAUGAAGGGAGCUUGCUCCUGGAUUCAGCGGCGGACGGGUGAGUAAUGCCUAGGAAUCUGCCUGGUAGUGGGGGAUAACGUCCGGAAACGGGCGCUAAUACCGCAUACGUCCUGAGGGAGAAAGUGGGGGAUCUUCGGACCUCACGCUAUCAGAUGAGCCUAGGUCGGAUUAGCUAGUUGGUGGGGUAAAGGCCUACCAAGGCGACGAUCCGUAACUGGUCUGAGAGGAUGAUCAGUCACCUGGAACUGGAACACGGGCCCGGACUCCGGGGGGAGGAGCGAGGGGGGAAUUGUGAAGAAGGGCAAAAACCUGGACCGAGCCUUCGCGUGUGUGAAAGGAGGGUGUCGGAUUGAUAAGCCUUUUUAAGUGGGGGGGAAGGAGAAUAAUUAAAACCCUUCUUUUUUUGCGUUCACAAAAAAAAAAAGCCCGGGCAACUUCGGGC
rnacentral:rRNA from 1 species